UACGGGGGGGGCAAGCGUUGUUCGGAAUUACUGGGCGUAAAGCGUGCGCAGGCGGUUCGCUAAGACCGAUGUGAAAUCCCCGGGCUUAACCUGGGAACUGCAUUGGAUACUGGCAGACUUGAGUGUGGUAGAGGCAAUCGGAAUUCCAGGUGUAGCGGUGAAAUGCGUAGAUAUCUGGAAGAACACCGGUGGCGCAAGCGGAUUGCUGGGCCAUAACUGACACUGAGGAGCGAAAGCGUGGGGAGCGAACAGG
rnacentral:rRNA from 1 species